rnacentral:tRNA from 5 species
UAAGCUUUCGGGCCCAUACCCCAAAUAUGUUGGUGAAAACCCUUCUUUUACUA